rnacentral:rRNA from 1 species
GACGAACGCUGGCGGCGUGCCUAAUACAUGCAAGUAGAACGCAGUUGCGAACGGGUGAGUACUGCGUAGGUAACUGCCUCAUAGCGGGGGAUAACUAUCGGAAACGAUAGCUCAUACCGCAUACUGUGAGAUGGACCUGCGUUGUAUUAGCUAGUUGGUGAGGUAAAGGCACACCAAGGCGACGAUACAUAGCCGACCCGAGAGGGGGAACGGGCACAAUUGGACUGGAAAAAGGGCCAAACUCCUACGGGAGGCGGCAGUAGGGAAGAUUCGGCAAAGGGCGGAAGGCUGGCCGAGCAACGGCGCGUGGGUUAAGAAGGUUUUCGGAUCGUAAAACACUGUUAAUAGAGAAGCGGUAACUAACCAAAAAGGGGCGGCUAACUACGUGCCAGCAGCCGCGGUAAUAC